rnacentral:lncRNA from 1 species
GCAAACCCAUGAUUUGAUUCUGCUUCCUUUCUCUCUCUCUCUCUCUCUCUCUCGCACACUAAAGUUUUGUGUUUCCAAUUCGCCUUCUCUGCUCCUGUGUUUAUUUGGGGAAACCAAUCAUUGUUCUCUGUAAGGCCCUCUUGCCUCUUUGUUAUUGAGUAUGUUCCCUUUCUCUCUACACAUCUUGUUUCCCCUUUUUUUUAUUUAAAUUUAAUUUUUUUUCUUUUAUUUUGAUUCGGAUGACAUUUUUAACAAGUAAAAAGAAAAAAAAAAGUUGAUUUUGGGGGAUUUUCUGAUCUGGGUAUCUGUUAUUUUGGUUUAAAUCAGCGCUCUUCCCAUCAAGUUUGUAGCUUUAACUUGUGUUCUCCUUGG